rnacentral:lncRNA from 1 species
AAGAUUCAAGUAUAGUAUAACCCUCCCUUGGAUGAAUUUCCACAAUCUUAUCAUUAUCUCCUAAUUCAAUAGAUGUAAUUAAUUCCAAAGAAUCCUCCAAUCCAUUUUCUUCAUAAACACCUAAAAUCUUCUCAUAAUCUUCUAAUGUUCAUAACUUGUGUAAUUCCCUUUCAAUAGUAUAUAAUAUUUUUCUUUCUUUUCUUUUAAAAUCAUCAACUUUCUUAUACAUAAUAUUUCCAUUCUCAAAAAUAUCAAUAAAACUCGCAUCAAAGGCACCUACAUCUCGCAAAAGUAC